UUGUGCUGCUGAAGCAAGCACAAAAAUGACAAAAACUGGAACAAUACGGACAAGAUUAGCAUGGCCCCUGCGCAAGGAUGACAUGCAGAUACGUGAAACGUUCUGUAUUUUU